UACGUAGGGGGCGAGCGUUGUCCGGAUUUACUGGGCGUAAAGGGCAUGCAGGCGGUCCGGCACGUUUUGUGUGACAGCGGGUGGCUUAACUACCCGAGGAUGCGAAAGACGGUUGGACUUGAGGACUCGAGAGGGAGACGGAAUUCCGGGUGGAGUGGUGAAAUGCGUAGAGAUCCGGAGGAACACCGAAGGCGAAGGCAGUGUCCUGGCGAGUGACUGACGCUGAGGUGCGAAAGCCAGGGGAGCGAACGGG
rnacentral:rRNA from 1 species